UACGUAGGGGGCAAGCGUUGUCCGGAUUUAUUGGGCGUAAAGAGCGUGUAGGCGGCCAGAUAGGUCAGCUGUGAAAACUCGAGGCUCAACCUCGAGAUGUCGGCUGAAACCAUCUGGCUAGAGUCCGGAAGAGGAGAAUGGAAUUCCCGGUGUAGCGGUGAAAUGCGCAGAUAUCGGGAAGAACACCCGUGGCGAAGGCGGUUCUCUGGGACGGUACUGACGCUGAGACGCGAAAGCGUGGUGAGCGAACAGG
rnacentral:rRNA from 1 species